rfam:Myotis lucifugus cont2.53539, whole genome shotgun sequence.
GCUUUCUGAACAGCUGGUGUAGCUACAGAGAAACCAGCUUCCUUCAGAGAGC